AGAGUUUGAUCCUGGCUCAGGACGAACGCUGGCGGUGUGCUUAACACAUGCAAGUCGAACGGUAAGGCCCUUUCGGGGGUACACGAGUGGCGAACGGGUGAGUAACACGUGAGUAACCUGCCCUCAUCUCUGGGAUAACAGUCGGAAACGGUUGCUAAUACUGGAUAUGAGCUUGCAAGGCAUCUUGUGGGUUGGAAAGAUUUUUUUUGGUUGGGGAUGGACUCGCGGCCUAUCAGCUUGUUGGUGAGGUAGUGGCUCACCAAGGCUUCGACGGGUAGCCGGCCUGAGAGGGCGACCGGCCACAUUGGGACUGAGAUACGGCCCAAACUCCUACGGGAGGCAGCAGUGGGGAAUAUUGCACAAUGGACGGAAGUCUGAUGCAGCAACGCCGCGUGCGGGAUGACGGCCUUCGGGUUGUAAACCGCUUUCAAUUGUGACGAAGCUUUUUGUGACGGUAGCAGUAGAAGAAGCACCGGCUAACUACGUGCCAGCAGCCGCGGUGAUACGUAGGGUGCGAGCGUUGUCCGGAUUUAUUGGGCGUAAAGAGCUUGUAGGCGGUUUGUCGCGUCGGGAGUGAAAACUUGGGGCUUAACCCUGAGCUUGCUUUCGAUACGGGCUGACUUGAGGGAGGUAGGGGAGAAUGGAAUUCCUGGUGGAGCGGUGGAAUGCGCAGAUAUCAGGAGGAACACCGGUGGCGAAGGCGGUUCUCUGGACCUUUCCUGACGCUGAGAAGCGAAAGCGUGGGGAGCGAACAGGCUUAGAUACCCUGGUAGUCCACGCCGUAAACGGUGGGUACUAGGUGUGGGGGACAUUCCACGUUCUCCGUGCCGUAGCUAACGCAUUAAGUACCCCGCCUGGGGAGUACGGCCGCAAGGCUAAAACUCAAAGGAAUUGACGGGGCCCCGCACAAGCGGCGGAGCAUGCGGAUUAAUUCGAUGCAACGCGAAGAACCUUA
rnacentral:rRNA from 1 species